AAAGAUAAGAGCCAUGAUCGAUAUACACGAUGUAAAGGAAAACGGCACAUAUAGCUUCAAGCAAAUACGAGAUGUAAUCGCUGAUUUAAAAAUCGAAAUUGAAGAAAUAACCGUUCAUUGUCCCAGUGAUGAGCAAUUAAAACAGCACUACUACAACAAACAAUACACUCUGGAAAUAGUUGUAUCUAUCAUCCUUGAUAAUUUAUUUAAGGAGUAGUUGAUUAACUGUUAUUGAAUUACUACAUGCAUGUAGUAAAACACAUGUUCAAUAUUCAUGUUGUCUUGAUUGAUUAAUAAAUUAUUUUUUGCUCUUA